GUGCCAGCAGCUGCGGUAAUACGUAGGUGGCAAGCGUUGUCCGGAUUUAUUGGGCGUAAAGCGAGCGCAGGCGGUUUCUUAAGUCUGAUGUGAAAGCCCCCGGCUCAACCGGGGAGGGUCAUUGGAAACUGGGAGACUUGAGUGCAGAAGAGGAGAGUGGAAUUCCAUGUGUAGCGGUGAAAUGCGUAGAUAUAUGGAGGAACACCAGUGGCGAAGGCGGCUCUCUGGUCUGUAACUGACGCUGAGGCUCGAAAGCGUGGGGAGCGAACAGGAUUAGAUACCCUGGUAGUCCACGCCGUAAACGAUGAGUGCUAAGUGUUGGAGGUUUCCGCCUUCAGUGCUGCAGCAAACGCAAUUAAGCACUCCGCCU
rnacentral:rRNA from 1 species